AUGAAUCUGACGAUCUGCUUGAACCUGGCUGACCCCAAGCCUGCCUUGCUCCCUGCUAGGGUGGUGGGACAGGCCCUGGCUGUGAGGCCCUGUUCUGCUGUCCCUCUGGGUAUCCCCCAUGGCUCCCAGGAAGCUGAACAGGGCUCCCUGGCGUCCAUGGAGUCCUGACAUAUGUUCUAUUAGCAAGGGCUGGGACAAAACACAGGCUCCGUCUCAUGGUGUAGUACAAACUCUUGGUUUAUUGUUCCCUUGAUACACAUUGUGCCUGGACUGAACCGUACUUGAUAUUUUUUUCCCCGAACUUGGCUAGGUAGAAGAACAAAAUAUUUUUCUGUUUCACAGAGAGGAUCGGAUAGAAACAAAAUGACGUAAAAGGCUGGAAGGGAAAUAGCAUUGGUAAAGUGCACAAUUAGACCGCAGAGUACAUUGCCAUGGGCAUCAGCAAGUAGCAAGAUUAAAAAGGAAGUUUGAUACAUGGAUAAUAAGAAUAUCCAGAGUUUUAAUAGCCAAAACUAAACUGAAAAUAUUUUGCAAGGAAUUUAAAACCAGUUUCAGAGCUAGAGAGAACUCAUGACAGACUUUACCUAGAGCUACAACUCCUUAUCCCAGGACCUAACUACAUCUUGGUUUUAGGUGUCAAGUGCUAGUCUCUAUUGGAGACUCUUGGCCUGAUCCAGCGUGGAAAUUCUUGGGGAACUCUGUUAUUGGUUUCCCAGUAGAAUGGUGUAGAAGAUAUUACUACAGUGGGUUGCAGUAAAGAACUCCAUAGGGUAGGCUUAAAAUGGAAGGCAUGUUAAAAAUAAUCUUCCCUAGCUUCAAAAGUUUACAAUGAAAAUGCACUAAAUAUCUAGUUAUCAUGCCUUCAGUGAUUAACUGAGAGAAGGAGAAACCUGCCCAUGGGCAAUUCACUUCAUCCCAGAGUCAACAAGUCAGAUGAUCUGGGCUCUAAAAGUCCUGAGUUGUCUCAUUUGGAGGAGUCUAGAUGAUAAUUUCAUGUGAAGACAUAAAUGUGUGAAGGUAGGUAAGAUUAAUAAAAAUUUAAGUUCCCUUCA
rnacentral:lncRNA from 1 species